rnacentral:lncRNA from 1 species
CACGUGGAGGUCACUGGCUAAAGGUCCAGUCCCCCAGGUCUUCAGUUGUGUUUUCACAGUCAGCUGUGUCUUUCCAAAGAACUACACUGUCUGGGCUUCUUAAGAAUGUGAUGGCUGUGCUUGAGGACAGUGGCCAGGGCCUUAUAGGCCCCACUGGUGCCCUGUCCCUUCCUGCCUUCCUGCAAUGCGGAGGCCAUUUAAUGUGCCCUAGGCACUCCUCCUUUAUCACAUAUCUCUGAGCACCAAAUGCCACCUUCAUUGUAUGCCAGGACCCAGGGCACAGAAGAGAACAAAACUGACAAAGCUCUGCCUUCUCAGUAUUUAUGGAGAGAACAAGACAAACAAUAACACAUAAAUACACAUGAUGUCAGGAAGUGUUUGGAACAGGCGAGGUGACAAGCAGCUCUUCAGUCCCAGGGCCAAGGGGCAGCUUUGCAGGGGAGGUUGAAUGAGUGAAGAUCUGAAGGAAGAUCCAGGACACCUGGAGGGGGAGCCAGGCAGGGGAUGGACAGCCCUGGCAAGGCCCUAGACAGAAGCCUCAUGUAGGGAUGACAAGAAGGACAAGUGUCAAGGCAGAGGGAGGGAUGGGCUGUCAGACCUAGUAGGACUUUGCUAAGUGGCAUGUUGUUUGGGGCUGUAGAGGCCUCUAAGCAAAGGAGGUCCCAGAACUGCUCCCAGCACACAGAGCCUCAUGUGUAGUGUUCUGUGAGGGCCACGUGACCGGAUGCUGCUGAUGGCUGUCGUCAGUUACCUGUCUGUCCCCCACUAGGCAGAGCUGUCCCAGGACACCUUUGACCACCUUGGCCAGGAACCCAGGCAGCUGACCCUUAGCAGAGUGAGAGUUUUACAGAUUCUUUUGGGAAGGGGGAUGAUACAGGAGAGAAUUGACUUACACAGCCACUGUCAAUGAGCAUUCAGCAGGAGGAGCGACCAGUGACCCUCUCUGAACCACCCUGAGUGAAUGCAGUGCAGGAACCCCAGCUGUGGGCCACAGCAAGGACACCUACUGGAAGUUUCCAGCUUGGAGGUGCUACAGAUACUCAGCCCGGGGCACUUGAGCUGCUCCUUAGACUUCUCAAUGUGUACAGCCCCCAGGGGUGCUGGUCAGAAUGUGAGACUCAGACUGUGGCAUUCAAGGCCACAGUGCUUGGAACAGAAGCCAAAUUUAAAUGCAUAGCAGGACCUAGUGUGGUUUGAUAUGCUUGGGGCAUGUGAAGGGGCUGUGACAUCUCCAGCCUUGGGGAGGAUUAGGUAAGAUGACAUCUUUGGCAGCCUUAAGGGGCUCUCCAUAGAUAUUUCUCCCUUUCUUCCUCUCUCUCACGGUCCAUAUGAAAUCUUCCAAUGGAACAAGGCUUCCUGCCCAGUAGAAAUAAAGAACAUUAAACUGAAGGUUGUGGUUUAAAAAAAUCCCAACUGAUCCCUGGAUGCUGAGGUCUCAGAGAAGUAUAGCUCCGACCCAUGCCCCUUGGGAGCCAGUGUCUACCAUCUCCCAGGC